CAUUUAACUCCGCGCUUACUGCCACUAGGCAGCUGGUGGAGCGCACAAUUGGGGUCCUUAAAGGGCGGUUUCGUGUGCUCCACCGCACUGGUGGCGACAUCAUGUAUUCGCCGGAGAUGGCAAGUAAACUAGUGGUCCUGUGCGCUAUACUACACAACAUCGCGGUAAGGAGUAGCGUAGAGCUUCCUCAGACAGAGGAAUUGCCUGAUGAGGAGCCAGGGGUUGUCCGACACUUCGGUGGGGGGAGUGUUACACGGAGGGGGAGCCAAGUCAGGGCAAGCAUUGUUGCGGAAUAUUUCAGCUGAAUGAUCACACAAACUGUGGACGACCACAACGGCAAGCAACACAUGAGGCACCAUCUCAGCCCCCUUCCCCUUCUCACUCCCCCUCCACUUCCCAGUCCCCCUCCCCUUCUCACUCCCCCUCCCCUUCCCAAUCCCCCUCAGCUUCCCAGUCCCCCUCAGCUUCCCAGGCCCACUCCACUUUCCACUCCCCUUCUCACCCCACCUCUCCUUCUCUUUCUGUGACCCCUUCUCCUCCUUCCCAUACCCCUUCUCCUUCAACUUCCAAAUCACCUUCUCAGCCCCCCUCACCCUCUAUUGGCCUAACAUUCUCUCCGCCCCCCUCACCCUCUCAAUCAGACCCACCCUCUGAAAUAACAUCCCCAAUCCCUCCUCCUUCCCCCAUCCAGCCUCCUUCCCCCAUCCCUCCUCCUUCCCCAAUCCCUCCUCCUUCCCCCAUCCAGCCGCCUUCCCCCAUCCAGCUGGCAUCACCACCCAGCGAAUGGGCAGAAGAAGCCCCAGAUGUGCUAAGUGACAAUGUU